rnacentral:rRNA from 1 species
GUAAGGAAUAUUGGUCAAUGGACGGAAGUCUGAACCAGCCAUGCCGCGUGCAGGAAGACGGCCCUACGGGUUGUAAACUGCUUUUAUACGGGAAUAAACCUGCUUACGUGUAAGCAGCUGAAUGUACUGUAAGAAUAAGGAUCGGCUAACUCCGUGCCAGCAGCCGCGGUAAUACGGAGGAUCCAAGCGUUAUCCGGAUUUAUUGGGUUUAAAGGGUGCGUAGGUGGCCUGAUAAGUCAGGGGUGAAAGACGGCAGCUUAACUGUCGCAGUGCCCUUGAUACUGUCGGGCUUGAAUGGACUAGAGGUAGGCGGAAUGUGACAAGUAGCGGUGAAAUGCAUAGAUAUGUCACAGAACACCGAUUGCGAAGGCAGCUUACUAUGGUCUGAUUGACACUGAGGCACGAAAGCGUGGGGAUCAAACAGG